rnacentral:rRNA from 1 species
AGCGAACGCUGGCGGCAGGCCUAACACAUGCAAGUCGAACGAACUCUUCGGAGUUAGUGGCGGACGGGUGAGUAACACGUGGGAACGUGCCUUUAGGUUCGGAAUAACUCAGGGAAACUUGUGCUAAUACCGAAUGUGCCCUUCGGGGGAAAGAUUUAUCGCCUUUAGAGCGGCCCGCGUCUGAUUAGCUAGUUGGUGAGGUAAAGGCUCACCAAGGCGACGAUCAGUAGCUGGUCUGAGAGGAUGAUCAGCCACAUUGGGACUGAGACACGGCCCAAACUCCGACGGGAGGCAGCCGUGGGGAAUGAUGCACAAUGGGCGAAAGCCUGAAGAAGUCAUGCCGCGGGAAUGAUGAAGGGCUUAGGAUUGUAAAAUUCUUUCACCGGGGACGAUAAUGCAGGUACCCGGAGAAGAAGCCACGGCUAACUUCGUG